rnacentral:rRNA from 1 species
GACGAACGCUGGCGGCGUGCCUAAUACAUGCAAGUAGAACGCUGAAGGAGGAGCUUGCUUCUCUGGAUGAGUUGCGAACGGGUGAGUAACGCGUAGGUAACCUGCCUGGUAGCGGGGGAUAACUAUUGGAAACGAUAGCUAAUACCGCAUAAGAGCAGAUGUUGCAUGACAUUUGCUUAAAAGGUGCAAUUGCAUCACUACCAGAUGGACCUGCGUUGUAUUAGCUAGUUGGUGGGGUAACGGCUCACCAAGGCGACGAUACAUAGCCGACCUGAGAGGGUGAUCGGCCACACUGGGACUGAGACACGGCCCAGACUCCUACGGGAGGCAGCAGUAGGGAAUCUUCGGCAAUGGACGGAAGUCUGACCGAGCAACGCCGCGUGAGUGAAGAAGGUUUUCGGAUCGUAAAGCUCUGUUGUAAGAGAAGAACGAGUGUGAGAGUGGAAAGUUCACACUGUGACGGUAUCUACCAGAAAGG